AGCGAACGCUGGCGGCAGGCCUAACACAUGCAAGUCGAGCGGCCGUAGCAAUACGGCAGCGGCAGACGGGAGAGUAACACGUGGGAACGCGCCCUUCGGUUCGGGAUAACUCAGGGAAACUUGGGCUAAUACCGGAUACGCCCUUACGGGGAAAGAUUUAUUGCCGAAGGAACGGCCCGCGUCCGAUUAGCUUGUUGGUGAGGUAACGGCUCACCAAGGCGACGAUCGGUAGCUGGUCUGAGAGGAUGACCAGCCUCACUGGGACUGAGACACGGCCCAGACUCCUACGGGAGGCAGCAGUGGGGAAUAUUGGACAAUGGGCGCAAGCCUGAUCCAGCCAUGCCGCGUGGGUGAUGAAGGCCCUAGGGUUGUAAAGCCCUUUCAGCGGGGAAGAUAAUGACGGUACCCGCAGAAGAAGCCCCGGCUAACUUCGUGCCAGCCGCCGCGGUAA
rnacentral:rRNA from 1 species